rnacentral:rRNA from 1 species
GACGAACGCUGGCGGCGUGCUCAACACAUGCAAGUCGAGCGGUAAGGCCCUUUCGGGGGUACACGAGCGGCGAACGGGUGAGUAACACGUGGGUGACCUGCCCUCAGCUCUGGGAUAAGCCUGGGAAACUGGGUCUAAUACUGGAUAUGACUCCACGGUGCAUGUCGUGGGGUGGAAAGCCUUGUGCGGCUGAGGAUGGGCCCGCGGCCUAUCAGCUUGUUGGUGGGGGAUGGCCUACCAAGGCGACGACGGGUAGCCGGCCUGAGAGGGCGACCGGCCACACUGGGACUGAGACACGGCCCAGACUCCUACGGGAGGCAGCAGUGGGGAA